CCGGGGACAGCGGCGAACGGGUGAGUAAUACAUGGGCAAUCUACCUUCAAGUUGGGAAUAGCCUACCGAAAGGUGGAGUAAUUCCGAAUGUGGUCGCCCCGCGCAUGCGGGGUUGUCUAAAGGCGGGGAUCCGCAGGGACCUGUCGCUUGGAGAUGAGCCCAUGUCCCAUCAGCUAGUUGGUGAGGUAACGGCCCACCAAGGCUUACGGGUAGCUGGUCUGAGAGGAUGGUCAGCCACACUGGGACUGAGACACUGCCCAGACUCCUACGGGAGGCUGCAGUCGAGGAUCUUGGACAAUGCGCGAAAGCGUGAUCCAGCGACGUCGCGUGCAGGAUGACGGCCUUCGGGUUGUAAACUGCUGUCGUGAGGGAACAAUGGCCACGGCGUGAAUAUCGUCGAGGCGUGAUAGUACCUCAGGAGGAAGCCACGGCUAACUCUGUGCCAGCAGCCGCGGUAAUACAGAGGUGGCGAGCGUUGUUCGGAUUUACUGGGCGUAAAGGGUGCGUAGGCGGCUUUGUGUGUCGGAUGUGAAAUCUUGC
rnacentral:rRNA from 1 species